CCUACGGGAGGCUGCAGUGAGGAAUAUUGGUCAAUGGACGAAAGUCUGAACCAGCCAUGCCGCGUGCAGGAUGAAUGCCCUAUGGGUUGUAAACUGCUUUUAUAUAGGAAUAAACCCCUUUACGUGUAAAGGGCUGAAGGUACUAUAAGAAUAAGGCCCGGCUAACUCCGUGCCAGCAGCCGCGGUAAUACGGAGGGUCCAAGCGUUAUCCGGAUUUAUGGGGUUUAAAGGGUCAAAAUAAGGAAGACGUGAAAGCCUAUCGCUUAACGAUAGAACUGCCAUUGAUACUGUUGUUCUUGAGUAUACUUGAGGUGGGCGGAAUGUGUCAUGUAGCGGUGAAAUGCAUAGAUAUGACACAGAACACCGAUUGCGAAGGCAGCUCACUAAAUUAUAACUGACGCUCGUGGACGAAAGCGUGGGGAGCAAACAGGAUUAGAUACCCGUGUAGUC
rnacentral:rRNA from 1 species